CCUCCGUCCCAAAAUAAGUACAGUUUUGCACUAUGUCUUAUUUGAAAAUUUUUUAUGAUUAGUAUUUUUAUUGCUAUUAGAUGAUAAAACAUGAAUAGCACUUUAUGUGUGACUAAAUGUUUUUAAUUUUUUCACAAAUUUUUUAAAUAAGACGGACGGUCAAACGUUGAAUGUGAAUAGUGCAAAACUGCACUUAUU
rnacentral:pre_miRNA from 1 species